rnacentral:rRNA from 1 species
AGGGAAUAUUGCGCAAUGGGGGAAACCCUGACGCAGCGACGCCGCGUGAGUGAUGAAGGCCUUCGGGUCGUAAAGCUCUGUUGUACGGGAAGAAAUAAAUGACGGUACCGUAUAAGAAAGGACCGGCUAACUUCGUGCCAGCAGCCGCGGUAAUACGAGGGGUCCUAGCGUUGUUCGGAAUUAUUGGGCGUAAAGAGUACGUAGGCGGCUGAGUAAGUCAGGUGUGAAAGCCCCGGGCUCAACCCGGGAAGUGCAUUUGAUACUGCUCAGCUUGAGUACUGGAGAGGGUAGUGGAAUUCCAGGUGUAGUGGUGAAAUACGUAGAUAUCUGGAGGAACACCGGUGGCGAAGGCGGCUACCUAGCCAUGUACUGACGCUGAGGUACGAAAGCGUGGGGAGCAAACA